rnacentral:rRNA from 1 species
AUUGAACGCUGGCGGCAUGCUUUACACAUGCAAGUUGAACGGCAGCGCGGGCUUCGGCCUGGCGGCGAGUGGCGAACGGGUGAGUAAUGCAUCGGAACGUGCCCAGUAGUGGGGGAUAGCCCGGCGAAAGCCGGAUUAAUACCGCAUACGACCUGAGGGUGCAAGCGGGGGACCGAAAGGCCUCGCGCUAUUGGAGCGGCCGAUGUCGGAUUAGCUAGUUGGUGGGGUAAAGGCUUACCAAGGCGACGAUCCGUAGCUGGUCUGAGAGGACGACCAGCCACACUGGGACUGAGACACGGCCCAGACUCCUACGGGAGGCAGCAGUGGGGAAUUUUGGACAAUGGGGGCAACCCUGAUCCAGCCAUGCCGCGUGCGGGAAGAAGGCCUUCGGGUUGUAAACCGCUUUUGUUCGGGAAGAAAUCCUCUGGGCUAAUACCCCGGGGGGAUGACGGUACCGGAAGAAUAAGCACCGGCUAACUACGUG